rnacentral:tRNA from 1 species
GCCUUCGGGCUUGAUGGUAGAGCCCUUGGCGCGUAACCGAGAGAUCUGGGUUCGAUUCCCAGUCUGGGCU